rnacentral:tRNA from 1 species
GCCUGGUUGUCUCAGUUGGUUAAGUUUCUAACUUUGACUCAGGUCAUGAUCUCAGGGUCCUGGGAUCAAAUCCCAGAUCAGACU